rnacentral:lncRNA from 1 species
CAAUAUCGAAGCAAGUUUUAUAUCAAGGGUAACUGCAGUUUUCAAAAUCUAAAGAUAAUUUUAAUUAAUGGACAGACCAAAAUGACUGACCACCUCCGAAUCACAUAGAACAGAAUCUCGCCCGUGUUCAACAUGGCCGAAUAUCGUUUCGCUGACACCGUGAUGUUGUAAAAGAAACCAGCACCAGCUGGUGGCAGUAUACGAAUACCGAUAUAUCUCUCCAAAAAUAUCAUGGACACAUUCGUGUAAUGUUUGUCUGCUCCACAACCACCACCAACACAAAGAAUCGAGACGUAACCCUGUAAUGUUUGCCUGUUCCACAACUACCACCAACACAAAGAAUCGAGAUGUAACCCUGUACUGCCUGUAUGCUCCACAACUACCACCAACACAAAGAAUCGAGAUGUAACCCUGUACUGCCUGUAUGCUCCACAACUACACCAACACAAAGAAUCGAGAUGUAACCCUGUACUGCCUGUAUGCUCCACAACUACCACCAACACAAAGAAUCGAGAUGUAACCCUAUAAUGUUUGCCUGUUCCACAACUACCACCAACACAAAGAAUCGAGACGUAACCCUGUAAUGGUUGCCUGCUCCACAACGGUCACCAACACAGAGUCGAGACGUUACCUUUAGUGGCUGCCUACUCCACAACUGUCACCUAUGUAAAGAAUUGGAAAUACUUAUGGCACAGAAACCAGCAAUAGUCUGGAACUGUGCAAAUACCAAAUCUACCUUAGAAGUGCGAUCUUGGUCAUAAUUACAACUAAAGCGUUCUUAAGUCACGAACAAUAACUGUUUUAUCUACCAAUCAAGAAGUUCCUAGCUCGAACAACUUCAUAUAGUUAGGUUGUGCAUACGAUCUUAUGGAAAAAGACUUCUUCUACUACGUGAGGGAUAAAGCAAUGCCUCCGAAAUAUCCUACUAUCCAGCUAAGCGUCUUAUCAAUUCAGACAGCCAGCUUAUCAGGACGUCAUUAAAACUGGUUUUGAGAUCAAGGAUUUGUCAGAUUGUUUACCAUAUAUUUUGAACGUGAUUCAUCCAGUUAAACUGUUGUAUAUACGUGUACAGUGUAAUCUGUCUAAAUAGCCUUGUUUAAAUGAUUAUUGAACAAGAGUACAAUUUCGUGUUAAAUUUUUCUUCUUCUUUCUGGUGCAUGUUUACAUUGCGUGUUGAGAACUCCAUGAUGUACAUCAAAGAACUUGCUAGCGUGCCCUAAGAGAAAGGAAAUCCGUUAAAGAAGAAACUUAACAAUUGUGUCAUGUGACCGAAUGGCGAUCUUUUCUUGGUAGAUAGAGUGAAACACAAUAUGCAUGGUAUGUUUGUCCAGACAAGAUAAGUUCUCUGAAGAACGUUUUAAAGAAUAGAAGCGUGGAUAACACUGUCUGGUUAAGCUUAAUUUCAGACGGAACCUGUUUUGAAUGUUGCUGUUGUUUUUUUAAAUCUAAAAACAGAAACUCUAUAAUUGAUUGUAAUACUGUCUAGGCAGUAUUGUGAAUUGAUAUUUGAUUAACGUAAUCAAUGACAUUGCUUCCCUAAGGACCCCUCCCAAAUAGUCGCCUCGACAACGUUACUGUAAUUUUCCAAAACUCCAAAUUUCUCCACCCCACCCAUCAGAAAAGAUAGUCCCCUUUCUUUCACCUAGAAAUUAAGCACUGAGGCUAUUAAUAGUUUUACUUCUUGAGAUAAUUACUUAAUUAUCAUUAACUAAUGUUUCGACAUUUUUCUUUUGUACCACAUGUGAAAUCUGAGUUUCAGUUGAAAAACUGCUCAAUAAAAAAUGUGUAUAGAUGAAAGUCUA